rnacentral:tRNA from 1 species
AAUAAAGUGCCUGAUAAAAAGGAUUAUUCUGAUAGGAUAAAUUAUGUAGAUUUGUACCUUUAUUG